rnacentral:rRNA from 1 species
GACGAACGCUGGCGGCGUGCUUAACACAUGCAAGUCGAACGGAAAGGCCCCUUUGGGGGUACUCGAGUGGCGAACGGGUGAGUAACACGUGAGUAACCUGCCCUUGACUUCGGGAUAACUUCAGGAAACUGGGGCUAAUACCGGAUAGGAAUCCUUGCUGCAUGGUGGGGGUUGGAAAGCUUCGGCGGUUUUGGAUGGACUCGCGCCUUAUCAGCUUGUUGGUGGGGUAGUGGCUUACCAAGGCUUUGACGGGUAGCCGGCCUGAGAGGGCGACCGGCCACAGUGGGACUGAGAGACGGCCCAGACUCCUACGGGAGGCAGCAGGGGGGAAUAUUGCACAAGGGGCGGAAGCCUGAUGCAGCAACGCCGCGGGCGGGAGGACGGCCUUCGGGUUGUAAACCGCUUUCAGCAGGGGCGAAGCUUGUGGUGACGGUACCUGCAGAAGAAGCACCGGCUAACUACGUG